rnacentral:pre_miRNA from 1 species
UGUUAACUACAUACAUGACUGUCACAUGAGAGAGGUAAUUGAUCAAGAUACACAUCACUAAGGGUAAUUGACUAACUUUUAUCCCCUCUCUCUAACUCUAUUUUUGAAAUUAGCCCCUCGAUUUUGCAAAUUUUAGUUAAUUACCCCCUUGUGACGUGUAUCUUGAUCAAUUACCUCUCUCAUGUGGCGUGGUGUCACGUUGGCA